AGUAAUGAUAAGGGAUUACAAGGGGGAGGCGGCGGCUUACAUGUGUAGACUGCUAAAUGGAAAUUUUUCUGUGGUAGAGACUGAAAUGUUGGCGAUGGAAGCUGGUAUUUUGUUAGCAAAAGAUUUGGGCUUCCAACAAAUCAUUAUUGAAUCAGAUUCUCUCCUAGUUGUUUAGAGCAUCUCAGCAAAGGAAGUCAGUGGCAAAACAGGGCAUAUUGUUCAAGGAAUUCUGAGUAAUCUGGACUGUUUUGGCAGUUGGAAAAUUCAGCAUGUCAAGAGGGUGGCGCAGAACUUGCCCUCUAUGCAAAGUGAGUCAGGUCUGGGAGGGAUGUUCCCCGGCCAUAGUGAGGCACCUGAUCGUCUGUGAUGUAUUUGUAUCCCUGUUUCCGCUGUUUUCUUUGCUGGUUUAAUGGAAGUUUUCUUUUCCAAAAAAAAAAAAAAAAACUAAUUAACUUUAAUUAAUUAAGUUAAACAGAAACUAAUUGAAAAAACCCUAGCCUUAUACUACCUCCCCCACUUUCAGUUAAACGCCUCCAUCACUCUCUCACACACAAAGCCUCCUUCACUCCCUCUCUCACACAGGCCCUUCACACCACGUUGCUUGAUCUUUUCAUUCUCACGGUGAGCCUCUCUCUUUUUAAUUUCUUGAUAACCCUCUCUCUUUUUUGUAUUUUGGGUUUUGUUUAAUACUAAAUCAGUGCUAUUAUUUAUGAAUCUGUGACUUUGAUGUUGAGUUGUUAUUUUCCUUCUGUUGAGUUGUUAUAAUUUUCUUAUCUUUUUCAUCUCUGUAUUUAUGCUUCGUACGGUGUUAGUAAUCUCAUCUAUUCAAGUAUGAGAGAGAGAAAGAAAGAGAGUGAAAGAAAAAAGUUUUAGGAAAGUGGAUUUGAUCUACACGAGCUCAAUCUCAGGCAAUAUCUGUUCACAGAGAAGAGCCAAAUUCAGACGAAAUAACAAUGGAGUAAGAAGAUAGGCUACAUAUAUGGUAGAGGCUGCGAUAUCCGUUCUUACUGAGAAGCUCAUUUCCUUGUUGAGCGAAGAAGCAACGGCAACACUGUUACGAGACAUCCAUGAAGAAGUAGCUGACAUCAAAGAUGAACUGGAGAGCAUUCAGUCCUUCCUUAAGGAUGAAGAUGCAAGGGCCGCAGCAGAGGACAUGAGCGAGGGUGUCAAAACUUGGGUGAAACAAGUCAAAGAAGUAGCUUUCCGCAUGGAUGUUUUCAUGGACGAGUACUUGCUUGAGAUGGCCCAACAUCAUCCCCAUCGGCUUCAGGGAUUCAGUGGUUUCCUCCAUAAAUCUGCUCGCUUAAUUUCAAUGUUAAAACCUCACCACGAAACAGCCACUAAGAUUCAGAAGAUCAAGGCAUCAGUGCAGAAAAUCAAGGCAAGAAGUGAAAGAUACGGCUUCCAAUCCACUGGUCAAGGAUCAAGCAGUGGUACUCGGAAUGUUAGGUGGCAAGACCCUCGAAAGGACUCCCUUUAUCUUGAGGAUACUGAUGUUGUUGGAAUUGAAUCUUCUAGAAAUGAAUUGAUAGGCUGGUUGGUAGAAGGACAACCUCAUCGUAUUGUAAUUUCGGUAGUAGGAAUGGGGGGACUAGGCAAGACCACACUUGCCAAAAAAAUAUAUGAUCAUCAAAUGGUUAGAAUACACUUUGAAUGCUAUGCGUGGAUUUCAGUGUCUCAAUCUUACAACAUACAAGAUCUAUUAAGGAGCAUCAUAAAGCAAUUUCGUGAUGCCAGAGAGGAGCUUCCUAUGCCGGGAAUUGACACAAUGGAUGAACAAUCAUUGGUAAGUAAAUUAAGAGAUUACUUACGGCUAAAAACGUAUGUGGUAAUAUUUGAUGAUGUAUGGCGAAUUGACUUUUGGGAGGGUAUAAAACAUGCUUUACUUGAUAAUAAUAAGGGUGGUAGAAUUAUGAUCACAACACGUAAUAGGGAGGUGGCUAGUUUUUGUAAAAAAUCUUCACAUGUUCAUGUUUUCGAAUUGCAACCACUAACUCCUGAUGAGGCAUGGGAGCUAUUUUGCAAAAGGGCGUUCCAAUUUGAAUUUGGAGGACAUUGUCCCCCAAUAUUGGAGAAAUUGUCUCAGGACAUUGUUGAGAAGUGCAAAGGCUUACCACUUGCAAUUGUUGCUAUGGGUGGUCUUUUGUCAACCAAAGACAAAGCUGUCUUUGAAUGGCAAAACUUGCAUGAUAGUGUUGGGUUUGAGUUAGGAAGAAAUCCCCAUCUUACAGGUGUUGAUAAAAUCUUGUCCUUAAGUUAUGAAGACUUGCCAUGCCACCUCAAAUCUUGCUUAUUAUACAUUGGUAUGUAUCCAGAAGACUACUCCAUUAGUUGCAUCAAAUUGAUUAGACAAUGGAUAGCUGAAGGAUUUGUGAAGGAAUUGGAGGGUAAAACAUUUGAGGAAGUUGCACAAGAAUAUUUGACUGAAUUAAUCCACAGAAGCUUGGUUCAAGUAUCAUAUGUUGACAUAUCUGGGAAAGUUAGAAAAUGUCGACUCCACGAUAUCUUACGUGAGGUCAUACUCCGAAAGAUGAAGGAUUUGAGUUUUUGUCAUGUUCUCUCAAAACAAGAGUCUCACUUUGAAGGAUUAACUCGACGCAUGUCAAUUCAUGGAGUUUCAUAUGUUGUAUUGAAGGAAUUUGAGAACACUCAUAUUCAUUCUCUUUUAUUUUUCAAUCUUGAUGAAUUUCCAAAGUCCUUUAUGAGUACUUUUGUUGCUAAUUUCAAGCUUUUGAAAGUCAUGGAUUUUGAAGAUGCUUUGUUGGAUUGCAUUCCUGAAGAUGUUGGAAGUUUAUUUCAUUUAAGGUAUUUAAGUUUAAGAAAUACCAAAGUUAAAAUUCUUCCAAAAUCCAUAGGAAAGUUGCAAAAUCUGGAGACUCUAGAUCUAAAGCAAUCCCUAAUUUCUGAUAUACCAAUUGAGAUCAACAACCUUCGUAAGCUACGACAUUUAAUAGCUUACAAUCUUGAUUUCAAAAAAGACAAUAGUUUGACUUUGGGUAAAGGGGUAAAGAUACAAAAGGGUUUUGGGUGUUUAAAGAACUUGCAAAAGUUGUAUCAUGUGGAGUUGAAUCAUGGAGGGGUUGAUCUUACUAAAGAGUUGGGAAAGUUAGAACAAUUGAGGAAGCUAGGCGUGAAAAACUUGUCAAAGGAAACCAUGACAGCUUUGUGUGCCUCUGUUGAAAAUAUGAACCACCUUCGGUCUCUUGAUGUAACCUUAAUUAGCGAAGAUGAGAUAGUUGAUUUAAAAUUCAUUUCAUCCCCACCUAAAUUUCUUCAAAGCCUACAAAUAAAGGGGCGAUUAGAGAAGUUACCAGAAUGGAUUUCAGAACUUCAACAUUUGGUCAAACUAAAGAUUUUAUGGUCCAGGUUAAAUGAUGACCCAUUAAAAGUCCUUCAAAAUCUACCAAACUUACGGGAGCUCAUGAUCUCACGCCAAGCAUACAACGGAGAACAUUUGCAUUUUAAGGUAGAAGGGUUUCCAAAACUCAAGUGGCUAUGGAUUAGACACUUAAAUGCAUUGCAUUCGCUAUUGAUAGAUGAAGGAACAUUGCCUGUUCUUGAAUUUUUUUCCAUUGGGCAUUGUCUAGAACUUAAAGAGGUGCCUUCCGGAAUCCAACAUCUGAAAAACCUCAAAGAAUUGGGAUUUUGGGGGAUGCCCAAAGAAUUUGAAGAAAGUUUGGAUCCUGAGCAAGGGCUACAUUACUGGAUUGUUGAGCAUGUACCAGUCAUUAUUCUCUUCCGGAAGCUUCGUGCAGGAUAUUAUGGCCAUGACAAACACAAUCUUCGUUCCAAGCAUUUGGCGGGGUCAAGAGGGCAAAGGCAAACAUUCAACCAGAAUGAGUUUAGAUGCUAAAAUAUCAAUGCUUCAGUUGAGAAAGGUAAACAAUCAAGUUCUACUCAAUAAUGUUAAUACAAAUUUCCUACAUCUCUCUAUGAAGGUCUACAUGUCAUCCACACCUUCACCUAGUCAAAUUAUACAUAUAUAUUUAUUAGACUGGAUUGAACGAUGGUCCGCUCAAAGCCUUCAAGUUCUACGGCUGCAGAGAUCCCUCCAGAGGCUUAUCCAUAUUCCUCGGAUGAGCCUCUUGUGGGCAUUGAAAGGCGUGGAAAAGAACUUUGGCGACUUAUUCUCAACAAUGAAUCAAGGGAUGUUGUAAUUUCAGUAUUAGGAGGUGCUGGCUCGGGUAAAACCACUCUUAUCUAUGAAGUCUAUCAAAUGGUGAAGGUAACUUUCGAAUGCCAUGCUUGGGUUCCUGUAUCACGCUCUUGUGAGUGCAUGUUAGAGAGAAUUUGGGAGGCGUUGGAAUUUCCAUCUUACCAAGGAACAGAUCGAAGACGGUGUCUACACACUCAUUUACAGCAGAAAAGGUACAUACUUGUUUUAGAUGGUAUUUGGAGUGAAGAUGAGUGGAAAUGCAUUAGAAAUGUACUCCCUUGUAAUAAUCAAGGUAGUAGAAUAAUCGUUUCUACCCGUAAACGCAACAUUGCUUCUUAUUGUGCCACCUCUCAUGAUUUUAUUUAUGAUCUUAAUCUAAAUCCAUUAACAUGGGAAGAGGCUUCAGAGCUCUUCCUUAAAAAGGCCUUCCCAAAUGGUAAAUGCCUUAUUCCAUGUGAGAAGUGGUCUGAGAAAAUUGUGAAACGAUGUGAAGGAUUGCCACAAGCGAUUGUUGCAAUUGGGGAUAUCUUAUCAAGUAAGCCACAAACUGUUAUGGAGUUCAAGAAAGUCCAUGACAAUCUUGAGUUUGAACCAGGAAGCCUUGAAUAUAUCAGAAAAUUCUUGCAGAGUCACUACCAUCUAUUGCCUAAUCUUAAGUCUUGUUUCAUGUACUUCUACAAUUUUCCUGAAGAUUACUCUGUUACACACGGAAGACUAAUUCGCUUGUGGAUAGCAGAGGAGUUUAUUGAGGAAAAAAGAGGUCAAACUCUGGAGCAAGUGGCGUGGAUGAGUACCUAGACGAGCUAGUUCAAAUGAGCUUGGUUCAAGUGAGUAGAUGGGAUUGUGAAGGACGAGUGAGGAGUUGCCGAGUUUCUA